rnacentral:rRNA from 1 species
CCUACGGGGGGCAGCAGUGGGGAAUAUUGGACAAUGGGGGGAACCCUGAUCCAGCCAUGCCGCGUGUGUGAAGAAGGCCCUCGGGUUGUAAAGCACUUUCAGUGAGGAAGAACGCCUGGUGGUUAAUACCCAUCAGGAAAGACAUCACUCACAGAAGAAGCACCGGCUAACUCCGUGCCAGCAGCCGAGGUAAUACGGAGGGUGCGAGCGUUAAUCGGAAUUACUGGGCGUAAAGCGCGCGUAGGUGGCUGGAUAAGCCGGUUGUGAAAGCCCCGGGCUCAACCUGGGAACGGCAUCCGGAACUGGCAAGCUAGAGUGCAGGAGAGGAAGGUAGAAUUCCCGGUGUAGCGGUGAAAUGCGUAGAGAUCGGGAGGAAUACCAGUGGCGAAGGCGGCCUUCUGGACUGACACUGACACUGAGGUGCGAAAGCGUGGGUAGCAAACAGGAUUAGAUACCCGUGUAGUC